GGGGAUGUAGCUCAGUGGUAGAGUGCUUGCCAUGCAUGUAGAAGGCCCUGGGUUCUAUCCCCAGCACCACAA
rfam:Ictidomys tridecemlineatus contig031507, whole genome shotgun sequence.